AUUGAACGCUGGCGGUAUGCUUAACACAUGCAAGUCGAACGGUAGCAGGCCUUCGGGCGCUGACGAGUGGCGGACGGGUGCGUAACGCGUAGGAAUCUGCCUGUUAGUGGGGGACAACGUGGGGAAACUCACGCUAAUACCGCAUACGCCCUACGGGGGAAAGCGGGGGCUCUUCGGCCCUCGCGCUAACAGACGAGCCUGCGUUGGAUUAGCUAGUUGGUAGGGUAAAGGCUUACCAAGGCGACGAUCCAUAGCUGGUCUGAGAGGACGAUCAGCCAUACUGGGACUGAGACACGGCCCAGACUCCUACGGGAGGCAGCAGUGGGGAAUAUUGGACAAUGGGCGCAAGCCUGAUCCAGCAAUACCGCGUGUGUGAAGAAGGCCUGAGGGUUGUAAAGCACUUUCAAUAGGGAGGAACACCGGCCGGCGAAUACCUGGUCGCUUGACAUUACCUAUAGAAGAAGCACCGGCUAACUCCGUGCCAGCCGCCGCGGUAACAC
rnacentral:rRNA from 1 species